UUUCUCAGGUGGUGGUUUUGCUAAAAAAUUUUAAUCGAAUUUUUCGUAAUAUGUCGUCCAGUCGUAGUUAACUAAUUUAAUAAGAAUUAAAAGUACGCUCUUAUAUAUACAUAUACAUAUAUAUAUAUGGAUGCAUAUAUUAUAUCUACGGCAGACAACGACAACAAGUACAUUUUCUACGUCGCGCAUUCGCGUACGAGCCAAAUAUUGAAUAUUCCGAUCAUCCGAAAAUGCUGAUUGAUGCUAUGGACAAAAAAUGUCCCCAUUGUCAUGCGCUCAAAUGCAAACAUUACUCAGAUGAGCCCAUUUCGCCUCAGGGGCAGGACACAGUUACCAUUUCCCGAAUCCCAGACUGCCUCACUGCCAUUCUCGUGUCGCAUUCUCGUGUCAAUAUUUUCUAUCGAGAGUCGUCUGUUGGCUGGAGGGUACAGAGCAGUAUGAAAACAAACAUGCCUAAAAUAACAAAUUAGCAUAGACCAGUGGGACUGCCAGAGAGUGAUGGCAGAGGACGCACCGAUAUUGAAUGAUGUGCGAACAAGUUGUAAUUAUUUCGCAUUAAGCCAAGGAACCAAACCGAAAGGAAUGGAGCACAGUGGUGAUGCUGAAGCCAUGGCCAUUGGAAGACCCCAAAGAUGUCAAAGAUGGAUGCAGCUCUGGCAAACAGAAACCGAGACCGAGUUAAAUAAUGACCUUAAAGAUUGGGUUGAAUACAUUCUGUAAGGAAUUAAUGAAUGAAUGAAGUAUUCUCAAGGCAAAAGAUACGCAAAUAAACUGAUUUGUCAUAUGAAAUAUCGAAAGAAAUUAUCCUUAAAUUGAACCAAAAACCAGGUCAUUAAGGGACUUGAUGGAAAUGAUUAUGUGAAAGUUCCACCACCCUCUAGGCUGGCAUUUUCUUUUAUCUGGGGGAGAAAUCAAGCUGCUGCCUGCUGCUGUUGCUGCCACAUUUUGUUGCAUUUAAUUAAGCAAAUGCUACCAGUUGAUGUUGAUGUUGAAGUUUCCCACGUUACGCACUCGUAUUCGUAUUCCGAAAAGCAGCCUACCACCUACCGCCUACCAAAAAGUCGUUAGUGGAAUGUUGCGCCCCCCUCCCGUGCGUCUCGAUUUACAGAUACUUCCGCAUUCUGUCACCGGAAAGGUAAAUCACAAGCUGACCACGCAACAAGCGGAAUUUUUCAUAAGUAUUUUCCAACAUUUUUACCUUUUUUGGGGGUUAAAAUGUGGAAUUGGAAAAACGGCGCAGCAACAACCCCCAAAAGGAGGUAGCCACCGCGAGGUAGCGACUCCUCCCCAAGCAAACAUUUAAUUGCAUUCGAUAUGCGCUUUAGGUAAGUAGCUCACGGUCCAGAUCAUUUGAUAAAAAAAAGCUGCUGCUGCUGAUAAUGCUGUUAGAGAUGAUGUUGAUGAUGGUGGUGGUGUGGUGGUGGUGGUGUAAGACUCAUCAUCUCUCCUCCUUCGUGGACUCGUCAUCGUUAUAAUCAACAUUUAUGGCCGCUGAUUGUUUUCGCGACUGACCAGAGAAGGGGUAGGAUCGCGUUUCGAUGUUGGGGUGGUAUAUGGUUGGCUUGGGUAUCUCAAGAAAGAUAGAUCGUAGACCCUCUCUCAAAAAGCGUAGUCUGAGAUUUGUGUGACUCAUAACGAGUUUCGUUUCGACCCGCUUGGACCUUAAGUGGAUAGCGGAACGUAUUGUUGUAGCGCCACCCUGAUCCGUUGCCUGCCACAGCUGCCGCAUUGUUCGCUCUUGGACAGUCCAGUCUUCAGUCCUUCUCAAUCCCUUACUCUUUCCAUAAUCCUGUUUCCAGAGAGGACUUCGCAGGGCCUUCGGUUACGGCGGCUUAUCAGAAGGCCAGGCCAGGAAAACGAGAGUUUAAAUCGAUGAGCGAGUAUCUUAUUAAAGCACCCGGAGGGAUGUCAUCGAAAGAGGGCUCUUACGAUCAAAGAUCUUAUGCCCUCUAUGGCUAAAUAUACAUACGAAAUAUGGUAAAUAGGAAGAUCUUUCCCUCAAGGAUGUUCUGGACCCUGGAUUUUCUAAGCAAAUAUUGAAAGUAGUUUACAUAAUUUCACCGAGAAUGUUGACUGUUUACCAACCGCGUACUUCAUACACUUUUGCACUGC